AGAGAGAGAGAGAGAGAGAGAGAGAGAGAGAGAGAGAGAGAGAGAGAGAGAGAGAGAGAGAGAGAGAGAAACGAUAAGCAAGAGUGUGAUGAUCCUAUUUACUGAUGAGUACGUGUAUUAAUAUGUGUGUGUGUGUACGUACAUGCGUGCAUGCAUGCAUGCAUGCAUGCGUGUAUGUAUAUGUAUAUACGUGUACAUGCUACUAUGCGCGUGAUUGGCAUAAUUCGACGGUUCGAUGCAAACAUCGAUGACGUCAUUACGUACACCCACACGAAUAUACAUAGUACAGUCCUCUCUCUCUCUCUCUCUCUCUCUCUCUUUUUUCUCUUCCUCCCAUUCUCUCUAUCUCAUUCUCUCUCUCACUCUUCUUUACAAAGCCAACGGCACUUCCUUUGACGUAUUUCACGUUACGACGUGGUUCAACGGUGCCGCCAUGGAGAACACGUGAACACGUACCGUGACGAGUUAGAGGAGAGUCGAUAAAGAGUUACUGCUAGUCAGACAAAGAGAAGUACAAGAGAUGUGAAGGAGAAGGGGAAGCGAGAAAAAGAAAGA